GACGAAGGGGGCUAGCGUUGUUCGGAAUUACUGGGCGUAAAGCGCGUGUAGGCGGUUGUUCAAGUCGGGUGUGAAAGCCUUGAGCUCAACCUGGGAAUGCCAUUCGAGACUGCAUAGCUAGGGUGCGGAAGAGGGAAGCGGAAUUUCCGGUGUAGCGGUGAAAUGCGUAGAUAUCGGAAGGAACACCAGUGGCGAAAGCGGCUUCCUGGUCCAGCACCGACGUUCAGGCACGAAAGCCAGGGGAGCAAACGGG
rnacentral:rRNA from 1 species